GGCCUGAUCAUGGCUCAGGUUGAACGCUGGCGGGAUGCUUUACACACGCAAGUCGAACGGUAGCACGGACUCUGGUCUGGUGGUUGAGUGCGAAAUUGGGUGAGUAAAUAUCGAACGUGCUCGAAGUAUGGAUGAAUCUACGCGAAAGCGUAGCUGGACAUCGCGCAUACGCCCUUUGGGGAAAGUGGGGACCUUCGGGCCUCGCACUAUUAGGAGCGGGCUGAUAUCGGAUUAGCUAGUUGGUGGGGUAACGGCUCACCAAGGCGACGAUCCGUAUCUGGUUUGAGAGGACGACCAGCCACACUGGGACUGGAGACAUUGGCCCAGACUCCUACGGAGGCAGCAGUGGGGAAUUUUGACACAAUGGGGGAAACCCCUGAUCCAGCCAUCCCGCGUGUGCGAUGAAGGCCUUGCUUGUAAAGCACUUUGUGAGGAAAGAACGGCGGACGAUAAUACCGCAACUGACGACGGUACUCGAAUGGCACUGGCUAACUACGCCAGUAAGUCGCGGUAAUACGGCAUAAAAGCGUUAAUCAGGAAUUACUGGGCGUAAAAGUGCGGCGCAGGCGGCCUGGUGUUGCUACGUGAAUCCGUAUAUUAACUUUGAACCGUAUUUUAAUCACCGAGCUAGAGUGUGUCAGAGGGAGGUGGAAUUCCGCGUGUAGCAGUGAAAUGCGUAGAUAUGCAGAGAACACCGAUGGCGAAGGCAGCCUCCUGGGAUAACACUGACGCUCAUGCACGAAAGCGUGGGGAGCAAACAGGAUUAGAUGACCUGGUAGUCCACGCCCAAACGAUGUCAACUAUUGUUAAAGCCUUGGCCCGGUAGCGCAGCUAACGCAGAAGACCGCCUGGGAGUACGGUCGCAAGAUUAAAACCCAAAGGAAUUGACGGGGACCCGCACGCGGGCGCGAAGAUGAUGUGGAUUGACCUGAUGCAACGCGAAAAACCUUACCUACCCUUGACAUGGUCUGGAAUCCCGAAGAGGAUUUUGAGCGUUCGCAGGAGAACCGGAACACAGGUACAGGCUGGUUUGUCAGUCGGGGCCGUGAGAUGUUGGGUUAAGUCCCGCAACGAGCGCAACCCUUGUCAUUAGUUGCUACGAAAGGGCACUCUAAUGAGACUGCCGGGUGACAAACCGGAGGAAGGGUGGGGAUGGACGCCAAGUCCUCAUGGUCUUAUGGGUAGGGCUUCACAUCGUCAUACAAUGGCUGGACAGAGUGGUCGCCAACCCGCGAGGGUGGAGCACGUAAUCCGAAACCUGAUUGACACUGACUGCAGUCUGCAACUCGGGACUGCGUGGAAGUCGGAAUUCGCCAGUAAUCGCGGAUCAGCAUGUCGCGGUGAUUAAUGCCCGGUCUUGCACACACCGCCCGUCACACCAUGGGAGUGGGUUUUACCAGAAGUAGUUAGCCUAACCGUGGGAGGGCGAUUACCACGGUAGGAUUCAUGACUGGGGGUGAAGUCGUAACAAGGUAG
rnacentral:rRNA from 1 species